AGUGAACGCUGGCGGUAGGCCUAACACAUGCAAGUCGAACGGCAGCACAGUAAGAGCUUGCUCUUACGGGUGGCGAGUGGCGGACGGGUGAGGAAUACAUCGGAAUCUACUUUUUCGUGGGGGAUAACGUAGGGAAACUUACGCUAAUACCGCAUACGACCUACGGGUGAAAGCAGGGGAUCUUCGGACCUUGCGCGAUUGAAUGAGCCGAUGUCGGAUUAGCUAGUUGGCGGGGUAAAGGCCCACCAAGGCGACGAUCCGUAGCUGGUCUGAGAGGAUGAUCAGCCACACUGGAACUGAGACACGGUCCAGACUCCUACGGGAGGCAGCAGUGGGGAAUAUUGGGCAAUGGGCGCAAGCCUGAUCCAGCCAUACCGCGUGGGUGAAGAAGGCCUUCGGGUUGUAAGGCCCUUUUGUUGGGAAAGAAAAGCAGCAGGUUAAUACCCCGCUGUUCUGACGGUACCCAAAGAAUAAGCACCGGCUAACUUCGUG
rnacentral:rRNA from 1 species